UGAUUGGGGUGAAGUCGUAACAAGGUAGCCGUAUCGGAAGGUGCGGCUGGAUCACCUCCUUUCUAAGGAUAUAUUCGGAAC
rnacentral:rRNA from 2 species